GAAGCACCCUCUCCCAUCUUAGCAUUAAAUAUGAAGCUUUCCAUUCACCCUGUGGAUACAAGAGUUAAUGCUUUUGAUCUCUAAAGUGAAUUCUGAAACCUCUCUUAAAACCGGGAACUUCUCUGAAGGGGUAUUGGAUCUGUCUGUGGUCUGGGGCUCAGGAGCAUUUCUGGGUGAAUCUCUCUAUGUUCCUCGAGGUGGAGGUCUUUGCCAGCAGGAGAGGUAGCUUUAUGAACUGGAGGAUAAAAUUCAUGCUGCAAUCAACAAUAUCGGUUUCUCUCCAUUCUUUCUUCUCCAUACAGCAGAACACCAGACGGCAAAGGUUUUUCUUAGUUAAAAACACAACUCAUAAAACAAGACAACUACCAGGUAAGAAAGUUUUGAAAAAGUAAACACCAUAUACACUUAUAAUACAACAGUGUAAAAUGAAAAAAAG
rnacentral:lncRNA from 1 species